UGCAGCCACCCUCCACUACUUCGUCCUCCCUCUAGAUCUCCCCCCACGCAGCAAGGAUCGAGAAGAGGAGGAGCAAGAUGGAUUGAAGAGGAAGAGAGGAUCAAGGAGAUGUUCUACCCCCAUCUCUUGCAGAUUUUUUUGGGGAAACCCUAGGUAAGGAUAGGAUCCUUGUUCCUCCCUAUAAUUAUAUGCUUUUGGAGGUUGUGGAUCAUGUGGAUUGAAGGAUUAGAGGUUGGAUUAGAUGUGGGGUUAGGUUUUGAUCUCGAAUUUAAUUUCUGCAGAAUGGCAGAUUCGACAGUUUCUGUUCAUGUCAGAUUUCCGUGGUCUUAGUGGCCUCAAAAAAAUAAAAAGUCUAUAUAUGAGUCGUAGAUAAUUUGUAGAUCUUUCCGUGGCCGCGAAGAACACCUCAAUCGGACAUCAGAACAGAAAGUUAUGACAGUUUGAUUAUAGUAGUUUUUCAGUCUCAUAAUUCUGUGCAGAAUCUGUUCUCUUAAGAGUUAGGCAAUUUUAUCAACAGAAUUAAACUGUGGGUUGGUAAAAGAAGUUGUAGAUAAUUUCAUAAGCUUUCCAGAUUGUUAAAGAGUGCAUUCAUAUGAUUUGUGAAACUCCAGUUAUGUUUGUUUUACUGUGGCUGUUCCUGUUUGCCUGACAAAAAUGAGUGGGUCUGUUCACUGGUGGGUUUCAUCUAGUAAAUGGCCAAAUUGGCUCUUCCAUCUAUGGAGACUUUUGUAGAGGGAUAAAAGUUCUUACUUCCAACAGAAUUUCAUAAUUUUUGGUUCAGUAGUUUGGGAGAUAUCGAAUUUUAAAGUUAACCAUACUGCUGUCUAAAACAGAUUCAGUCAGGUAUCUUGUCAGAUGUUUUAGAACUUGUAGAUGGCAGAAUUUAAUUAUCCAUUGAAUACUGAAGUUGUAGAGUAUUUUGUGUAGAUACUCCUAGAGUAUUUGUUUGAUAUCACCGCUGUUUUAAUUUUAAAGAUACAAAAUUAACAAACAGCGCUGCUGCUGUAUGGCAUGUGGUUCAGGGUGGGAGUCUUUCCACUGGGUCUUGGUUUCAAGUGUAGGAGUGUUUUGUUGAUUGAUGGCAAAUGUUUGUGAAAUAUUUGUACUAAGUUUUAUGCCCGCUAGCAGGUGGCUAUACUCCAGAUCAUGUCUAGUACAUUUCUUCUUCUUCGAUGAAGGCAAGUGAAUGUAGCGGUGGUUGCUUCCGUUCUAACCUGUUAUUUCUAUUGCCUACACUCUAAUAUUCAGAAGUAUUGGAUUCUUUCAUAAUUGGACUCUAUGGUGAUGCUUUACUUGCUUGCAUUAUACUGAUGCUCAAUCAUAUAUUGAUGAUGAUUAUGAUUCGAGUAUGAUUCAUGAGAUUAAUUCACACCUCUGAAGGUAAAUGAAGUAUUAUUUGAGGUUGGUAUUGUAUCUGAAGGUAAAUGAAGUAUUAUUUGAGGUUGGUAUUGUAUCUGAAGGUAAAUGAAGUAUUAUUUGAGGUUGGUAUUGUAUCUGAAGGUAAAUAAAAUAUUAUUUGAGGUUUGUAUUGUAUCUGAAGGAAGUGAAGGUUAUUGAUAAAUGCAGCAUGCCAUAUACAUUGCAUGACUCAUUUGCAUCUGAAGUUUUGUCGUGACCUAUGGUCCGACCGUACCGGUACAAUUUAGCAUCGUACGUUGCCCGAGGAGGGGUACGAUGCGGCUUCAUACCCUUAGAGGUAUGAAGGCAGAGGACAUAUGCAUUGCAUUCAUAUGCAUUCAUUGAAGUGAUAUUUGCAGAUGAUGUGGUUUUAUACUCUCAGAGGUAUGAAGAUAGAGUACCUACACAUUGUAUUCCUAUGCAUACAUUGAAGUGAUAUCUGCAGGUAUUAUUGACGCACGGAAGUGUUAUAGAACCUAUUGUGGUUGUUCGAGGAAAUGAGAUGGUAUUGGUUAUAGUGGGACUACUGAGUUCCAUAUCUACAAGUAUUUCUGAUUUUAAUUGUGACUCUUUUAAAAUGUUGAUGAAUUCAAUUUGUGGUUUAAAGAUCUCGUCAAAAUUAUUCGCUUGCUGAGAUGUUUCAUCUCACUCUUGCAUUACUCAAUGCAGGUGCUUGUUGCUCAUCAAGGGAAGUGGGAAGUAGCAGCACAUCCACCUUCACUCUUAUAAUAACACUGCUUAGGCGCAGUCAUGAUUUAAUUAGAAGCUUCUUGUCAAAGGACGUUUGUUUCUAACUAGUUGUGCGCACUGGAUAAUUUAGCUCAUGCCGUUAUGGUUGUCUUCCCAUUGCUAGCAGACUAUUAAUGUCUAUUAUGUUUUCUUAUCAUGAUAUCUAUUUAUACUUUGUUGCUUCCCCGUUUAUGCCAUUUUCAAAGGAGAUGCUGUCGAAAUUUUAUAUACGAAUGUUAGAUGUGUAGUUUAGUAGCAUUCUGGGGUGUUUAUGGAUCCCGGGGUGUUACAGUUGGUAUCAAAGCUUAGGCUUUAGAUUCUUGGCAAUUUGAAGAAAAAUUUGACACACUUGCACAUAUAGGAAGGGUAUGGGUUCAAGUACUUUGAUAUAUAUUAGUGACUUUGAAGUGCAGAUGACAAUAAUUUCACCCCUCUCGAUUCCUUUACGGUGAUGUGGUAAGUUGUUUAUGGCUUAAUGCUUGAUAUAAUUUAUUUCUGAAAUUUUGAUAUUGUUUUAUUAAUGCGGUAAAUAUCGCUGAUCAUUUGUGAGAAUGAAGUUGUUAUUAUGCUUGUGAUAUACAAGUAUGCCUAUGAUGUUUUCACUAUGUUUUUCAUGGUUGAGUUUUAUUACAAUAAUAUUGUUAUAUAUGCUUGACUGAGGAUGUUUCUAAGAGGAGUGUGAAUUGCGUGUUUUGGGGUACAAGGUAAUCAUCAAUUUGAAUUUAAGUUGUUGAGCGGUUGGUGGUUAGCUCCAACUAUCUUUGCAAAGAAUGAUUGUUUAUGUUGAGAAACCAGUUCUGAAAGAAAUGAAUAUUGGUACUUGUAUAUGGAUUUUGGGGGAAGUCUUUACAUAGUCAGAAUGGCUUACAUGUCUCUCUUCUAUCGUGUGUUUUAGUAGCCACAAAGCCUAGAUGUGGUUUAAAGUGGUUGCAUGUUAGUCAUGAUAAUUGUAGAAUAAAUCUUUGAUUUUUCUUGAUCCAUUGAUUAUGUAUGAAUACGUUGAGGAUUUGAUGGUUCUCUUCCCGAUGCAUGUUUGUGGAGCCAUUGUUGGACCACUUAUCUAUUGGUUUGAAUGAAGUCAUUGCCUAGCCUAGAGUUGGUUGUGUGUGGUUAUUCACCUAUUCCUAAAUGAUGUGGUUUUUACAUCAGCUUGGGAUGUUUGCCAAAUGUGUGAAGGAUUACAGGGUUAGUAUUGGCCCUUUAUGUCUGG
rnacentral:lncRNA from 1 species